UUUAAAUCCUAGAAUUCAUAAUGAUGUUGAAAAGAAAUUAAUUGGUCUCCUUUGGAGGAUGAUAAAGAACCAAUUCACUCUCUUGAAAAUUGGCAAAUAAAGGGAAAGAAUCAAGCAAGUAGCCUACCUUUCUGAAAUGAACUGUACCACUGAGUAACAGAGAGUAAAUGAGAGGAAGUAUCUCUUUCUAAAAGUUUCUUUCCAACUGAUAAGUGAAAAAAGGAUUGGGGGGCAAGAUUGGGAUGUUGCCACUGGCAGCCCUUGGUGAAUUAAUAGACUGAUUCAUAAUGAGCAUCAGCAGCUGCUAAGACAGAAAGAGGGACUACCCGGCAUUGCGUGCCUCCAGACGAAGGAACACAGCCCACUGAGGAUCUAGCCAAAGGGACUGAACCCAAGUCUGAUCAAGCCUGUGGAUCCAGCUGCCAACUUGCAGGAAGCACAGAGGACAGAGGAACACGUGGAACACGUGGAACUGCACGGAUGACUCAAGGCAGCUUUUAAAAACGCCGACUGCAGAAAUCAGGAAAGAGAUGGAAGUGGAUGUGAUCCUGGCCUGGCGCAUUCAUGCUGGCACCUGCGGCACUCUCAGCACAGAGCCACCAUUCAGUGACAACUCUGAAGUCCACACUGAGAGCGCCGGGUCAAGCAGAGCCAGCCUCCCAGAGUUCUGGUGAGAAUUCCGUGAGUUAAGCCGUGCAGAGGGCAGGCGCAUGGUGAAUUCUCAAUAAAUGUUUGCUAUUAGCUUCAGCACACAGAGCUGAGGUGGACCCUGAGGGCCUGUUUGGAAUGUGCAGCUAGCAGUGGGGACCGGCAUUUCCUCACUGGCCAGACCGCACAUCCUCUCCCCACGAGCAGCCCUCCACCCUGAGUCCGAGUCAAGGGAAGUGGAUAUUCAACGACACCAGGUUGGGGGGAGCAAAUCCAUUCCAUCAGGGCUGCCCUGACCAGCAGCUCCAGGGUGCCCAUUGGCUCUGAGCCGCUCUCCUCAGAAUGUGCCUGGGUGGGCUCUGCCGGACCAAACCCCAGCCCCCAGGACACCUCUCUCCUUUAUGUUGCGGAAUAUAUUUGGCCAGAUGGGGAAAAGUCCGCAAGGCAUAUUUCCAACGCUGAGCCUGUGUGUACUUGGGUUUGUAUUCCUUUCCUGUCGCUACUGCAACAAUUUAACCACUUAAACAAUAGGUAGCAUCUUGUAGUUCUACAAGGCAGAACUGACCUGAAAUCAAGGGGCCAGCAGAGCCGUCUUCCUUCUGGAGGCUCCGAGUAGAAUCUGAUCCUGGCCUUUCCAGCUUCUAGUAGCUGCCCACAUUCCAUGGCUCAUGGCCCUCAUGCCUCUUUAAGCCAGCAGUUGCAUCACAGGACUCUGCUUCCUGUCCUUAUUUCUCCUUCUCUGACUUUGACCCUGCCUGCCUCUUACCAGGACUUUGUGAUUCCAUUGGGCCCACCUGGAUAAUCCAGGCUAAAGUUCCCAUCUCAGGAUCCUUAACCUAAUCACGUCUGCAGAGUGCCUUCUGCCACGUGAGGCAACACAGUCACAAAUUCCUAGGGUUAAGAUGCAGCUAUCUGGGGAGACCAUUAUUCUGCCUAGCACGGAGGCCAUCGUUAGAAACUCCUAGGAUGCUGAGUCCCCUGCUGUCUGCUCUACCAAGGGGGGCCCUUAUGACCAGGAAAACAGCCCUGCUUCCCAGUCCAAAGAAAUUUUGACAAAAUGUCCUAUCAGAAGAUAAAGUGAAUCAUCCCUUUGGAUCCUUACAAAGUUUAGACAAGACAUUAUGCUCACUCUCUGUGGUCCUAAUGUUCACCUGUGACACCAGCCAAGGGGCAAGGGUUAAGGACAGCAGCCAGCACUGAGCUUUGCCUGCUGGGGGAAAUGUGGAAGACUUUGUGACACCUCCUUGCUCACUUGCGAUUAGAAAGACCGUUUCUUUACCUACUGAGAUGGCCCAAAGAAGCAAUGGCCAUUUUGAAAAGCUGCCUUCCAGCUCUGCAGAAAGUAUAAAAGAGACGCAAACAAAGAAAACACUGGCGUGCCCAGGGGCCCAGAUCAUGUCGCCCUCUCCUGCUUUAUCUGACUUGCUGGCUCUGGGUCCGGACUCCCAGCCACAGAGACAGUGCAGGAAGACAAGGCAGAGAUGCUCAGGAGACCCUCCAGCCCCCAGUCCUUGUAAGCUACCACAGCUAGGAACCAAUCAAGUGUCCCUCUUGUAAAAAUGGUUCUUUUAGCUGAAAGUCCUAAAUCUCCUCUUGUUUAAGUAGCAGGUUGAUUGUUGCACUUGAUUGCAGGACACACACACACAUAGGAAGUGGGCAACCCUCACAGUCUGAAGGGGGAAGUCGGUCAAAUAUCAAGAUCAGAACUUAGUCUGUUAAUUGUGGGGUAGGAGUGUGGAGAGAAGGCCGUGCUGGGGAACGAGGACACUGCUGGGGACCACACAAACCCAGGUUACAAUCAAGUGUUGUGCCAGGAAGCUGUCCUGUCUCCAUCUGGAGACUUUGCACUUCUCUGCUCCAAACAGACUGGGCUGAUCCUUGCAUUUAACUCUCAUAGACACCCUUGUUACUCUCAUUUCUAUGUUCCUGAGGUGGCCACCUCACUGCAUCCCCCAAAAACUAACAAUUCAAGAGUAAAAAGGCAAAAAAUAGGAAGGUGAAGAAAUAGGGACAAAAAGGAAAUGGGAGAAGGAAAGUUAAGAACAACCAGGGGUGAGUUUAGUGCAGACAACACAGCUCACCCAGUCCUAGGCAUGGGUCACAAAUCUGACUCUGAGCUUCCUAGCAACCAUUGUGAAAAGGGAAACAAGAUCCAUCACAUGAUUCAAAAGCCCUGUUAGCUGAAAGUAAAACCAUUUCCUCUGUGGGGAAAUAUCUAUUCAUAUUAUUAGGAUGCGGAAGAAAUUUAUUCUGGAGUUCUCAUGGAGAGGCUACUGUGAACAAAAUGAAUGAACACUGUCCUCAGCAAGAUCCUGAUGGUAAAUCCAGCAACCGGUUUCCUAGGGCUGUUUCUCAUAAUUCUUCUUGAUGAAGGCCCACAGUAUAAUGCUGAAGCCCAGUUUAGUAAAAACAGUUAUUUUCUGGUGAAUUCUCCAAAGUUAAGUGCUACAAAAUACCUAUUCAGAUAAGGGUUACUAAGAACAAGCAGUUAAGUGAUGGAAGUGGUCCUUUAUGAGUUUAUGGGUUUGGGAGAUGUAUAAAUUUUUGCCUCUGUGCUUCCUGCAAGUUGGCAGCUGGAUCCAGAGGCUUGAUCGGAUGUGGGUUCAACCCCUUUGGCUAGAUUCUCAGUGGGUUGGUAAAACAGUGGGCACCAGUGUGUAUGAACUAUCAACCACUACACAGAGAAAUAUGGAUUAAUUUUACCAACACAAUGGUGAGCAAAAGAAAUCAGAUGUCAGAAGGGAUAUAGUGUAUGAUUUCAAACAUAUAGAAGCAUGAAAACAGACAAAACUUAAGAUAUGCUGCUAGAAGGCAGGAGAGUGUUUGCCUUGGGAGGUUGUGACUGGAAGGGUAUGCGAGAAGGCUACUGGGAUGCUGGCAGUGAGCAUCGAUUACAUGGAUGUGUUUAGUUCCUGAAAAUUCUUGUGACGUGGGCACUUUUCGCAAUGUUAUGUUACAUUUCAAUAAAAAGGUUUUUUAAGUGGUGUCAGGUCAUUACAGCACAAAUUUUAAAUUAGGGGUAUUUGGGGGCACAGGGCCUCAGUCUGUGACCAGGGUUAGAGUUUGUUCUCGGGCUGGAGUCUGGGCUCAGCCAAGAUAAGGUUCAGUGUGGACACAGGGUCAAGACCCAUCUGUGGCUGGAUCAGUCCUCCUGAAUGAGGGCUCAGUCACUCCCCAUCUUCAGCUUGACCGCUGCCAUUCCAAGGUCUGACCACUUGAUGUCUCCACUCGACAAACUGCCAAGUGAGGAGCCGGCAGGAGGAUAGAGCUGCCUGGCCCUGAGCCAGGGGAGGCUGGAGGCGGUGGCUCUGGGGGAGGACUGGGAAACACCAGAGAAUGAAUGUGAGUGGAACAGAGCUAGCCAGUGUGGGGCUGACGUCCAUCUCCCGUGGAACAGUGGAUGGCAGGGGGCACCACAGAGGCAAGGCCAGCUCUGAAGCCCCCAGCUCUGUCCCAUAUCUCAGUCAGCAUUAUUUCACUUAUUCAUUCAUUCGUUCCUUCAAUGUUUAAUGAGCUCUUGCUCUGGACCAGGCACUGAGGAUUCCAGGAGGGCAAAUGGGCCAUGGUCCCUGUCUUCAUGGAGCUCCACGAUGCUCACACCUCCUUUCGCAUUUGCUGGCCUCUCUGAGCCCAUCUCCCUGCUCACUUCCACAGCACUCUGCAAGCCCAGAAGACCCUCCCAUAUUAGAAUGCUCCUCCCAACCAGCUCCUCAGCCAGGACCCCCUUUUUCCUGUUUGUUGUCUGUCUUUCCCACUCAGAUGGAUGUCCAAAGGGCAGGGGCCCUGUCUGUCUUGUAGACUGUCGCAGGGGCCCCGUCU
ensembl:lncRNA